UACGUAGGGCGCAAGCGUUAUCCGGAAUUACUGGGCGUAAAGAGCUCGUAGGUGGUUUGUCGCGUUGUUCGUGAAAACUCACAGCUCAACUGUGGGCGUGCGGGCGAUACGGGCAGACUAGAGUACUGCAGGGGAGACUGGAAUUCCUGGUGUAGCGGUGGAAUGCGCAGAUAUCAGGAGGAACACCGGUGGCGAAGGCGGGUCUCUGGGCAGUAACUGACGCUGGAGGAGCGAAAGCGUGGGGAGCGAACAGG
rnacentral:rRNA from 1 species